CUUCAUCACAACUACAAAUUAACGUAUCACAAAACAUUCAUUUCUAUACUUGAAACAAACAUUGUGGCACGUUAACAUUUGCAAUAUCCAGAAAUGAAGAAGGUUGUUGUUUUCUAUUGUCUUCUUGUAAUAAUUCUCAUGUUAUCAAUGGAUGAGUUGUAUCUACCAAACCAAGUCAGGAUCUUGGACUUGUCCCCUAUCAAAUCCGAAGAAGAAGAUAGGAAUGAUUUAAUCCGAGGUCGCAGUAACAGGGUGACUUGGAGCAAUGCCAAUCCUUCACCUUUUCCAAAUAUUAGAAGUCAUUAUGGAUGUGGUGACAAUUGCUUUUAGGGCUGCUGAGGAUGGGCAUGGGAAAUACUUCGGCAAAAUUUGGGAUGAGAUGGAACAAAAUGGCAUCUAUAGGCUGUUUGGGUGGUGUGUUCCUAUAUUGUAUUCUAUUUCAUUGUUAUUAAAUAAGAUAUUUUAUGGCUGUUACUUAAAAUAUAUUAUGUUAUAUUGUUAAAUUCAUUGAUAUGUAACCAUAUAAGGACUAUCAUUUAUGUAAGCAUCUAUUUGGUG